AUACGUACGGGGCGAGCGUUGUCCGGAAUGAUUGGGCGUAAAGGGCGCGUAGGCGGCCCGGUAAGUCUGGAGUGAAAGUCCUGUUUUUAAGAUGGGAAUUGCUUUGGAUACUGUCGGGCUUGCGUGCAGGAGAGGUAAGUGGAAUUCCCAGUGUAGCGGUGAAAUGCGUAGAGAUUGGGAGGAACACCAGUGGCGAAGGCGACUUACUGGACUGUAACUGACGCUGAGGCGCGAAAGUGUGGGGAGCAAACAGGAUUAGAUACCCUGGUAGUCCACACUGUAAACGAUGAAUGCUAGGUGUAGGGGGUAUCGACCCCUUCUGUGCCGCAGUCAACACAAUAAGCAUUCCGCCUGGGGAGUACGGCCGCAAGGUUGAAACUUAAAGGAAUUGACGGGG
rnacentral:rRNA from 1 species